rnacentral:rRNA from 1 species
UUUCGCAAUGCCCGAAAGGGUGACGAAGCGACGCCGCGUGAGUGAGGAAGGCCUUCGGGUUGUAAAGCUCUGUCAGGAGUUAAGAAAUAUAAGUGUGUUAAUACCACAUUUAUUUGACGAAGGCUCCAAAGGAAGCCACGGCUAACUCUGUGCCAGCAGCCGCGGUAAUACAGAGGUGGCAAGCGUUGUUCGGAAUUAUUGGGCGUAAAGAGCACGUAGGUGGGUUUGUAAGUCAGAUGUGAAAGCCUUCUGUUCAACGGAAGAAUUGCAUCUGAAACUGCGAGUCUUGAGUGUAGGAGGGGAGAAUGGAACUUCUGGUGGAGCGGUGAAAUGCGUAGAUAUCAGAAGGAACGCCGGCGGCGAAAGCGAUUCUCUGGCCUAUUACUGACACUCAGUGUGCGAAAGCUAGGGGAGCAAACGGGAUUAGAUACCCCGGUAGUCCUAGCUGUAAGCGAUGGGCACUAAGUAGAGGGGUUUUA